rnacentral:lncRNA from 1 species
AUACUGUAAUUUUUGAUCGACUGUUUUUGCAUGUAAAUUCCGCUCGGAUUGUAACUUUCGAUCGACACUUUAAAGAAAUGUAAGCACUUGAGGACCUAUUGAGCAACCAUUUAAGAUUAAUUCUAUUGAAAGUAACCUAUAGAAGAAAAUAAAUGCCUCACAAAAGGUUAAUACCAAUGUCCAUAAAUGUUUUAAGAAUACCUUGCAAAAUAUGUACAUUUAUUAUUCUAGUUAAAAUCCAAAAUUACAUGAAACAAAUUUGCAUUAAGAACUUCCAUAACAAAAUGACAACUUUUAUGGUCAUUGUUAUCUAGCAAUGGAUGCAACUGCAUGAGCCCAGAAUUUAAGAUUGUCUUUCAUGUCAAUCUCACUACCCUUAUCUGGUACCCUCCAAUUCACUAAUGGAUUUUUUCUCUCCCUUUGAUCAAAAACAUCCCAAGCCUCAGAUAAAUAAGGCUUAUUAUCAGAUAAAACAUUUUCAUCAAUCUUCUUAUGUUCUUCAUCUUCACCUUCUUCUGCAUCAUCAUUUUCUCUUCCAAGUCUUUGUAAACCAGGUAUCAAUGAAACCAAUUUUGAAUCUUUAUCUUCCUCAGAAAACACAAAACCCAAAUCCAUAAACCCUUUUAGCUCUUUAAACUCAAGCUCUGAUAAACUCCUACUUUUCCUUCUCCUUCUUCUAUAACUUUGGCUUUGUUUUUUCUUAGUGUAUGCAACAUCUUCCUUCUGAUGAUGAUUUUCACUACUAGUCCCCGUUGAGAAUUCUCCGAAUUCUCGUUCAGAAGGGAUUGUUCUAAGCUUUGAUGAGGUGAGGACUGAAUUUGGUGAUGGAGAAUCAGAGAAAACAGAUCCUAUGAUGCUCAAGUUUUGCUCACUAUAGAACCUAACAUCAAGGUUUGGAGUUGGAACAAGUAAGAGAUUUGUGUCUUGAGGAAGAAUUUCUUCAACUUUUGAAGGAUUUUUGUUGGUUAGAAUUGUUGUUUCAAACCAAAAGGAAUCUAACAACGUUAGAAUUUGUUCUGCAGACAUUACUUUGUUGUGUGUGACGAGUGAAUGGUUUGAAAUUGGAAUUUGGAUUCUAUAAAGAUAUGAGAAGGUUGGAGAGAGUUAUAUGUUUGAAGAUAAGAAGAGAAAUUGUCAAUGUAUAUUUAUUUUUAUUUUAUAUAUACGGAGAGUGACAUUUCUUUCUUAAUUUUGCCUCUGUUUUUCUGUUUUUGGCUUAUCCCAUUUUAUUCGAAUAU